UACGAAGGGGGCUAGCGUUGUUCGGAAUCACUGGGCGUAAAGGGUGCGCAGGCGGGUUUAUAAGUCUGCUGUGAAAUCCCGAGGCUCAACCUCGGAAAUGCCUUUGAUACUGUGGAUCUUGAGUCCGGAGGAGGUAAGUGGAACUGCGAGUGUAGAGGUGAAAUUCGUAGAUAUUCGGAAGAACACCGGUGGCGAAGGCGGCUCACUGGUCCGGAACUGACGCUGAGGCACGACAGCGUGGGGAGCAAACAGG
rnacentral:rRNA from 1 species